GGAGGGUGCGAGCGUUGUCCGGAAUCACUGGGCGUAAAGGGCGCGUAGGUGGCUCGUUAAGUUGCCGGUGAAAUCCCGGGGCUCAACUCCGGGGCUGCCGGUAAGACUGGCGGGCUCGAGCACGGUAGAGGCAGAUGGAAUUCCCGGUGUAGCGGUGGAAUGCGUAGAGAUCGGGAAGAACACCAGUGGCGAAGGCGUUCUGCUGGGCCGUUGCUGACACUGAGGCGCGACAGCGUGGGGAGCAAACAGGAUUAGAUACCCUGGUAGUCCACGCCGUAAACGAUGGACACUAGGCGUCGGGGGGAGCGACCCCCUCGGUGCCGUCGCUAACGCAAUAAGUGUCCCGUCUGGGGAGUACGGCCGCAAGGCUGA
rnacentral:rRNA from 1 species